rnacentral:tRNA from 1 species
GCUUUUUCAUAAUUGUCUUGAAAACAAUAUAAAAAAAUAUUCUUUAAAAAGCU